rnacentral:rRNA from 1 species
UACGGAGGAUGCGAGCGUUAUCCGGAUUUAUUGGGUUUAAAGGGUGCGUAGGCGGACGCUUAAGUCAGCGGUAAAAUUGCGGGGCUCAACCUCGUCGAGCCGUUGAAACUGGGUGCCUUGAGUGGGCGAGAAGUACGCGGAAUGCGUGGUGUAGCGGUGAAAUGCAUAGAUAUCACGCAGAACUCCGAUUGCGAAGGCAACGUACCGGCGCCCAACUGACGCUGAAGCACGAAGGCGUGGGUAUCGAACAGG